AGUCCCGUGGUGUAGAACAUUUCGGAUUGCAAAUCCGAAGAAGCAGGUUAACGGCCUGCCGGGGCUU
rnacentral:tRNA from 4 species